UACGGAGGGUGCGAGCGUUGUCCGGAAUCACUGGGCGUAAAGGGCGCGUAGGCGGCCUGAUAAGUAGGGGGUGAAAUCCUGCGGCUUAACCGCAGGGCUGCCUUCUAAACUGUCAGGCUAGAGCACAGUAGAGGCAGGUGGAAUUCCCGGUGUAGCGGUGGAAUGCGUAGAGAUCGGGAGGAACACCUGUGGCGAAGGCGGCUUUCUGGGCCCUACCUGACGCUGAGGCGCGAAAGCAUGGGGAGCGAACGGG
rnacentral:rRNA from 1 species